GAUUAAGUUAUUAAGGGCGCACGGUGGAUGCCUUGGCACUAGAAGCCGAUGAAGGACGUUACUAACGACGAUAUGCUUUGGGGAGCUGUAAGUAAGCUUUGAUCCAGAGAUUUCCGAAUGGGGAAACCCAGCAUGAGUUAUGUCAUGUUAUCGAUAUGUGAAUACAUAGCAUAUCAGAAGGCACACCCGGAGAACUGAAACAUCUUAGUACCCGGAGGAAGAGAAAGAAAAUUCGAUUCCCUUAGUAGCGGCGAGCGAAACGGGAAGAGCCCAAACCAACAAGCUUGCUUGUUGGGGUUGUAGGACACUCUAUACGGAGUUACAAAGGACGACAUUAGACGAAUCAUCUGGAAAGAUGAAUCAAAGAAGGUAAUAAUCCUGUAGUCGAAAAUGUUGUCUCUCUUGAGUGGAUCCUGAGUACGACGGAGCACGUGAAAUUCCGUCGGAAUCUGGGAGGACCAUCUCCUAAGGCUAAAUACUCUCUAGUGACCGAUAGUGAACCAGUACCGUGAGGGAAAGGUGAAAAGCACCCCGGAAGGGGAGUGAAAUAGAACCUGAAACCGUGUGCUUACAAGUAGUCAGAGCCCGUUAAUGGGUGAUGGCGUGCCUUUUGUAGAAUGAACCGGCGAGUUACGAUUUGAUGCAAGGUUAAGCAGUAAAUGUGGAGCCGUAGCGAAAGCGAGUCUGAAUAGGGCGUUUAGUAUUUGGUCGUAGACCCGAAACCAGGUGAUCUACCCUUGGUCAGGUUGAAGUUCAGGUAACACUGAAUGGAGGACCGAACCGACUUACGUUGAAAAGUGAGCGGAUGAACUGAGGGUAGCGGAGAAAUUCCAAUCGAACCUGGAGAUAGCUGGUUCUCUCCGAAAUAGCUUUAGGGCUAGCCUCAAGUGAUGAUUAUUGGAGGUAGAGCACUGUUUGGACGAGGGGCCCCUCUCGGGUUACCGAAUUCAGACAAACUCCGAAUGCCAAUUAAUUUAACUUGGGAGUCAGAACAUGGGUGAUAAGGUCCGUGUUCGAAAGGGAAACAGCCCAGACCACCAGCUAAGGUCCCAAAAUAUAUGUUAAGUGGAAAAGGAUGUGGCGUUGCCCAGACAACUAGGAUGUUGGCUUAGAAGCAGCCAUCAUUUAAAGAGUGCGUAAUAGCUCACUAGUCGAGUGACACUGCGCCGAAAAUGUACCGGGGCUAAACAUAUUACCGAAGCUGUGGAUUGUCCUUUGGACAAUGGUAGGAGAGCGUUCUAAGGGCGUUGAAGCAUGAUCGUAAGGACAUGUGGAGCGCUUAGAAGUGAGAAUGCCGGUGUGAGUAGCGAAAGACGGGUGAGAAUCCCGUCCACCGAUUGACUAAGGUUUCCAGAGGAAGGCUCGUCCGCUCUGGGUUAGUCGGGUCCUAAGCUGAGGCCGACAGGCGUAGGCGAUGGAUAACAGGUUGAUAUUCCUGUACCACCUAUAAUCGUUUUAAUCGAUGGGGGGACGCAGUAGGAUAGGCGAAGCGUGCGAUUGGAUUGCACGUCUAAGCAGUAAGGCUGAGUAUUAGGCAAAUCCGGUACUCGUNNNNNNNNNNNNNNNNNNNNNNNNNNNNNNNNNNNNNNNNNNNNNNNNNNNNNNNNNNNNNNNNNNNNNNNNNNNNNNNNNNNNNNNNNNNNNNNNCAUUAAGGCUGAGCUGUGAUGGGGAGAAGACAUUGUGUCUUCGAGUCGUUGAUUUCACACUGCCGAGAAAAGCCUCUAGAUAGAAAAUAGGUGCCCGUACCGCAAACCGACACAGGUAGUCAAGAUGAGAAUUCUAAGGUGAGCGAGCGAACUCUCGUUAAGGAACUCGGCAAAAUGACCCCGUAACUUCGGGAGAAGGGGUGCUCUUUAGGGUUAACGCCCAGAAGAGCCGCAGUGAAUAGGCCCAAGCGACUGUUUAUCAAAAACACAGGUCUCUGCUAAACCGUAAGGUGAUGUAUAGGGGCUGACGCCUGCCCGGUGCUGGAAGGUUAAGAGGAGUGGUUAGCUUCUGCGAAGCUACGAAUCGAAGCCCCAGUAAACGGCGGCCGUAACUAUAACGGUCCUAAGGUAGCGAAAUUCCUUGUCGGGUAAGUUCCGACCCGCACGAAAGGCGUAACGAUUUGGGCACUGUCUCAACGAGAGACUCGGUGAAAUCAUAGUACCUGUGAAGAUGCAGGUUACCCGCGACAGGACGGAAAGACCCCGUGGAGCUUUACUGUAGCCUGAUAUUGAAAUUCGGCACAGCUUGUACAGGAUAGGUAGGAGCCUUUGAAACGUGAGCGCUAGCUUACGUGGAGGCGCUGGUGGGAUACUACCCUAGCUGUGUUGGCUUUCUAACCCGCACCACUUAUCGUGGUGGGAGACAGUGUCAGGCGGGCAGUUUGACUGGGGCGGUCGCCUCCUAAAAGGUAACGGAGGCGCUCAAAGGUUCCCUCAGAAUGGUUGGAAAUCAUUCAUAGAGUGUAAAGGCAUAAGGGAGCUUGACUGCGAGACCUACAAGUCGAGCAGGGUCGAAAGACGGACUUAGUGAUCCGGUGGUUCCGCAUGGAAGGGCCAUCGCUCAACGGAUAAAAGCUACCCCGGGGAUAACAGGCUUAUCUCCCCCAAGAGUUCACAUCGACGGGGAGGUUUGGCACCUCGAUGUCGGCUCAUCGCAUCCUGGGGCUGUAGUCGGUCCCAAGGGUUGGGCUGUUCGCCCAUUAAAGCGGUACGCGAGCUGGGUUCAGAACGUCGUGAGACAGUUCGGUCCCUAUCCGUCGUGGGCGUAGGAAAUUUGAGAGGAGCUGUCCUUAGUACGAGAGGACCGGGAUGGACAUACCUCUGGUGUACCAGUUGUCGUGCCAACGGCAUAGCUGGGUAGCUAUGUGUGGACGGGAUAAGUGCUGAAAGCAUCUAAGCAUGAAGCCCCCCUCAAGAUGAGAUUUCCCAACUUCGGUUAUAAGAUCCCUCAAAGAUGAUGAGGUUAAUAGGUUCGAGGUGGAAGCAUGGUGACAUGUGGAGCUGACGAAUACUAAUCGAUCGAAGACUUAAUCAA
rnacentral:rRNA from 1 species